UCUUUAGAUUCUGUCACCUCAGGCACCGAACAGCGGAUGGAAACAGUCGGAUCCCACCUGGACUCUCAUUCUUCUCCACUCUUUGGAAUUAUUUGUUUGCAUGUAGGAAACGAUCAAUCAAUAAACAAUCAAUAAACAUAUUCAGUCUUUAUUCAGUGAACACACGCUUCAGUUAGCUUUAAAACAAAUAACUGUAAAUCCACUCGUCCUGUAACAAGAGCUCUAAAUAAAACCUGUGAUGGUC